GGGUUAAGCACUUGCUGAGGGAUGUGAAGGAUACAACAAUUAGCACCCUUGCAAUAGAGGAUGCUGAGGGUUUAAUUGUGCUCAACAUAGGCAGCUAUAUGGGUGGAGUUGAUCUUUGGCAAAAUGAUUAUGAGCAUGACGAUGAUUUCAAUCUUCAGUCCAUGCAUGACAAAACGCUUGAGGUGGUGUGCAUUUCUGGAGCAUGGCACCUUGGCAAACUUCAGUUCAGGGAACAACAGAGAUAAAUAGAAAAAGUGCAUCGGAGACAAAGAUGAAGAGGCUAGAUUACAAGUCAACAAAACUCAUAUUCCCAAUGUAAUUGCAGAGACGCAUGACACUGCAUAAAGGGGCAUCCUAUUUUGGUGAACUAGGUUGAUAUGGUAGGAAAAAGAUUUGUAUGUGAAUGUGGUUAUUGUGAAUGAGAAUAUGAAUAUCAAGUUGGCUUAAAUGCCCAGAUUCGUAU